AGCCCUGGAACACAAGUUGGACAGUUUUUAAAGGUCCCUGCGCUCGCCAAGAGAAGGAAAUAGAUGCUCAGGAGUGAAAUACCGAGAGAAUCGGAUCUGGCGCCUCCUAACGCAGCUGGCAAGCAGGCGAAGGUCCCGUGUAGAUUGAAGUAUCAGGGCAGCUUACAUACAGCCUGAGCGUCUGGCUUUGGGCAUUUGGGGAAGACUUUGCGAGAGUUCUACAUCUCCCUGAGCGAGGAUCUGAAGGAAACUUGGAACUAACAGGUGAGUUAAUUAAGGGGUUAACUCCAGGAGGCGAGUCCUAAAAGUUCAAAGAUACUUUCAAAACUUGCAUCUUUGGAUUGAUGGACAAGUGUAUUAACCAAUGGAAAUCAAACUCCAAGCAUUACUUCAUCAUGCUAAAUUGUCGUUGGUUGCCAAUCCCUGAGGGCCUGACAGCCCGGCUGGCAGUUAACCCUUUCAGGGACGAUCUUGCCCUUAACAUCAAUUUUAUUUUGAAAGAUGAAGUAGGGACGGGUGAAAAGCCUAGAAAGAUUCCCCGGAACUUCAAGUGUCCGUUUUGGAUCUCAGCCCAGCAGGUAGAGUUUCGCCCCACAAAGGAACACCCUGGGACAAAUUUCCUGGAGAAAAGUUUUGAACUUUUAAAAUUGGGAAUCAGCUGACCUUGUUUCGUGGGAGGAGAAGGGAAGGGAGAAGUCUGAUUCGCUUUUUGUGCUGUCAGAACAGCGACCAGUGUUGGAGCCAAUUCCAUUAAUCUUGCAGAGCAAUCAGUCACUGAGAGGAUUGAAUUGCAUUUCCUGCCCCAAAGAUGUAGAGACCGAUGACCUUUGCAGCAGCCCUCAGACCCCCCAGUUCACAGCUGGAGAGAGGAUGUGUCAGCAUUUACUUUCGGGUCUCACCCUGCCCUUUGUUCAAAACUCAAACUCUUUGUGCUCAGGCUGCUGCAGGGGUUUUUGUAGUUGUUGAUUUUGCCAAUUUUUUUUUUUUAAACCUCCCACGUCUUGGAACUUCUGAGAAUCAAACUCUCUAUUUAGCAGAAGAUAAUAUCUGGAGGUGCCCCCAGAGAGGGAACCAGAAUAGACACAGGGGAAUUUUAAGAGAGGCCAUUGGGCCUUUUGGCUUUCAUUACUGCCCCUUCCUGGGCUCCCUGAAUGCUGCAGGCUGAACUGGAUGGAGCCAGAAGCCCUGCAAGAGGACUAAAAAGCCUCGUGUGGACAUGGGUCUGUUACAGAAAAAACCUUUUACACACGUUACCUCGGGUAAAAAGGAACUGCUAGAACAAGAGCAUUUACAUAAAGGAACAUUCUAAAUUCCCAAAUCCAGUGAGCUAUAUGACCUCACACAAGGUGCCCAAACUGAGCCUCAGUUAUCCCAUCUGUAAAAUGGGGGUCAUAAUAUCAAACGUAUAAGAGCUACAGGAGGAUUGAAUGAACCAGUGUUCUGUAACAGGGUGGUGGUCAUGGUGUGUGUCUUCAUUAAAAUGAAGUCGACCUUCUCUCCCCAACAAGCCUUCAAAGUCUGAUCGCACUCAACUGUUUUGGGUUCUUUGAAUAGAGCUGCUUUCUCUCCUCCAGACCUUUGCAUUUGCUGAUCUGUGCACCAGGAAUUGUCUCUCCUGCCAGCCGUCCUCUCCAUAGCUCUUACUUAUCCUCUUGGAACCAGCUUUGAUAUCUUCUCUUUCCUGUCCCCCUCAUAAUACUUAUCACAUUUUCUUAGUGUUGCCUAUGCUGUCAGCACACUGGGAACCCUGGGGCUGUAGGGCCCCUGUCUGCCUCAUGCAUGGACGUAUCUCCUGCCUAGCACAGUGCCAACACCUACUCUGAAAGUACAUAUCUAAGCGUACCUGGGCUGGCUCAGUCAGUAGAGCAUGCAACUCUUGGUCUUGGGGUGGUGAGUUCAAGCCCUAUGUUGGGUGUGGAGCCUACUUAAAAAAAAGAAAAAAAAAGUACCCGUCUAAUGGAAAUCCAGCACCCCUACUGUGCCUCCCUUAGUCCCCAAAUUUCUCACCCUUCCAGAAAUCUAGGAGUAACAGUGCUGAGAUUUUUCUCUUGUCCUGGUUAGCCAUAUUACAACAUCCUUUGCAAAUGGAGUCCGUGGCUUUUUAACUCGCUUUGAAAUGCACUUCAUUAAUUCACCAAUUACUUAUUGAGUGCCUCCUAGAUUCCUACACAGAGCAGCCUUUGUAGGAAAGCCUGCUCUUCACCCUAUAGCACCUAUUCAUGGCACAGAGCAGGCCUUUCACCCUGGUGAGGCCAGGAUGCUCUGAAAUGGAAUGGGCAGUUGGCUCUUACCCCAACCCAAAGAGAGGGAUCUCAGAGACCACCCCUUGCAAAUUGAGAGCAGGUAAGUUUGCCCAGCUUACCCUAGCACAAAGCUCUUUCCAUUCAGAAUACUUGUCAUAAUUAUAAUAAAAUACUCAUGUGUGAACAGUCUAUUGUCUGGCUCUCUCUUUUAAAGGAAAUGUCCUGGGGCCCCUGGAUGGCUCAGUCGGUUAAGCUUCCAACUUUGGCUCAGGUCAUGAUCUAUGAUCUCAAAGUUCGUUGGAUGUCAACUCCACAAAGCGGCAAUUUUAAUCUUUUCUGUCCACCUCUGUACCCCCACACCUGUCAAAUAGAACUGAACCCAUGAGAUUCUCAAUAAAUAUUUGUUGAAUAAAUGAAUGGAUGGAUGCAAAGUGAUUAGCACUUGGUAAGUGCCCCAUAAUGAUCGCUAGUUUACCAUUGUGAUUAAGCACUCAGUCUCUGGAAUCUAACUGAAAGCGGAAUAAUUGAGGCAGGAGAAAUUUAGCAUCACGAUAGGAUGUUGGCACUCAAGCUGAGAAAUCCUGUGUGCAUCAUUUACUAGCUGUGUAAUCUGGUACAAGUGACUUUGCUUUCCUAAGUAAGGCUCAGUUUUCUCAUCUGUAAAAUGGAGGUAAUAAUAGCACCUCCCUGGUAGGAUGUGAAGAUAGGAUAAGAUGGUAAUGUAAAGCAUUUAGUAGAGUGUCUGGUAUAUAGUAAGUGCUCAAUAAACAGUGAUCAUCAUUAUUCAUUAUAGUAAUACUCAGAUGAGAGGUGAUGUCUAAGUCAAUUAAACCAUUGCUAAGCACUCAAAUAUGUCAGGGUCUAGCAGGCUUAAUUAAUGUUUAUUGACCUCGAUCUGUGAGCUCCUCAAGGAAAGAGAUUGUGUUUACAUUGUCAUGAUCUUGGCCUACAGUAGAUAUAUGAAGACAUGCUGGAAAAAUUACAUUCUGGACUCAAAUAUCAGUGAGAACAUGGAAGAGCUACUAGAAUAAUAAGGAUACCAACGUCCUACUAUGCACCAGGCACAAUAUUGGUUGCUGGAGAUAAGGCAAUGAGCUCAAACAAACAUUGUGGCUAUGACUUUCAGGCUAGUGAAACUUAGCAGAGUUGACAGACUUUGUUCCAAUAAUUGCACAGACAGAUGGAACAUUGCAACUAAGUGUAUCAUGACAAGGAGGUAUAGGAGGCUCUGACAUAUAGAAUGUGGGCAUGGAGAGGAUGGGGUUGACCUGGUCUUGGGUUGAGGAGGAAGUCAAGGAGCUUCUCUCAGCAUAGAGCUGAGCCCCGUGGAAAGAAGAGGUCUUGGCUAGGCUGAGGGUAGGGGAAGUGUUCUCAGCAGAAAAAAUAGCAGAGGUAGAGGCCUUAUGAUGGGGGAGUCCAUGUACUAAAGGAACUGAAAGAAAGCCUGGAUGAUCCCAAUGUAGUGAGCUGAUGGCAAGGGACAGGGGUGAAAUAAACUGGAAAUAGAAGUCGGCACUUUGGAAAUUAAUUGGGCAAUGUGUGGUAAAGCUGAAAGAGUGUACAACCUAUGAUCCAGCAAUUCCAACUCUAGGAACAUUCUAGAGAAACAGCCACGAGUGCGCUGGGAAGGAUGAACAAGGAAGUUAGCCCUAGCCGCAUUGUAUGCAGUCUCAAAAAAACAGUGAAACAACCCAAAUGUUCAUCAACAGGAGAAUGGACAAAUUGCAGAAUGUUUUCCUUGGGUUCCUCAGAAAGCAGUCUGCACCAAAAGUUAGUGUAGUACUCCUUUAUCGGAGAAUGCAGUCCUGAGGAAGCAAGAGAGAGGAAAAGGGGCAGUGAGACAGGGAAAGAGGGUGAGUCAGUAUGAGGGUACCAAGGAGUGGCCAUAUUUACCACAGCAUCUUGGACAGUUCUGGGGGUCAGAAGAAGGGAAGAGAAUUAUCUGCUGGCUCCUGGUCCAACGUUUGCCCCAUGGGGUGUAAACCACCCCCUACUUGGAGAUUACCCAUGUGUAAGCACCUCAGACGCCCCUUAGUGCUGCACAUGUCUGCCACAAGGAGAAGCCCGAGAUGGAAUCUAGUUGGCCAGAGCCCACACAGAAUCGGUCACCGUGUAAGGGUCAGGAUGGAACAGGUCACCAAGGGAGAUUGUCUGAGAAGGCAGGCUGAGAAGAGCUGAGGAGGCCUGUGACGUAUGUGAUGUAAUACCAAAUAGUAUACAGCAGUGAAAGAGAGGUAUAGCUGCGUACGUGCACAUGAAGACUAGCCAAACAAUGUUGAGUUGAAAGGCAAGUUGCAGAAGAAGGUACAAGGUAAAGUUUAUUUAUAUAAAGUUCAAAAAGAAGCCAGUGUAGACAACAUGUAUAAAAAAGC